rnacentral:lncRNA from 1 species
CUCACUAAAAUCGUUCAUUUAUGAUACUACAUUUUACUAACUUAAAAUAAAACAAUUCAUUUUUAUAGAAAACAAGAGUAACUCUAAACUCUAAACCCUAAACCCUAAACCCUAAACACCAACAAAUCAAAAACAUAAGCAAAAAAUAUACAAGUGAAUAAAUUCAACACCCAAAAGUAUAAGCACAUGUACUUGAAUGAAAAGUAAAAAACCUUAUAAAUUGAAUAACCAAAAAACACUAAAUGAAGAUGCAAGAAAAAAGAUCCUAAAUCGAUAACUAAAAACACUAAACUGAAGCAAACAACAAUCACACAGAGAAACAACAAUAAUGAUAACGAGAAGUAAACUAACAACGAGAAGACUCAACAACCUGUAUACGUUGCACAACUUGGAUCUUUGUCGCGCAAUCUUUCUCUAUCUUAGAAGAACAACAAGACGGGAAAAUUGAUAAGUGAAGAAAAGGUAGACGAGACAAGAGAUAUAAGAAUCAGGGUCAAGAGAGGAACAAUAGAGAAGCCUGAUAGACAACCAAGCGACGAUAGAGAAAAGCUUGAGGGAUGAUGGAUAGACAAGAGACAAAAGCUUGAGGGGUGUGAGAGGGACGGGAGAGAGAUGAGAGGGGCUGAGGGAAGAAGAGAAGAAUGAAGAAGGAAGAUAGAAUUUUUAGAAAAUAACAAAAUGACAAAAAUGACGAAUAUGUAUGUACAAUAUAUAUUUAUAUAGUAUUUGUGUCUAAAAUUGUGUUGACAUAUUAGUUCUCAAUUCUUAACGAUUGUCUCUGAG